rnacentral:rRNA from 1 species
AACACAUGCAAGUGGAGCGACGAACCGGGCUUUGCCCCGGGCAGAGCCGCGAACGGGUGAGUAACACGUGGGUAACCCACCCCGAUGAUUGGGACAACCCGGGGAAACUCGGGCUAAUACCAAAUGUGCUCGGCGACCAUGAGGUCUCCAAGUAAAGAUAGCUUCGGCCUUCGUAUCGGGACGGGCCCGCGGCCCAUUAGCUUGUUGGUGAGGUAACGGCUCACCAAGGCUGCGAUGGGUAGCUGGUCUGAGAGGACGAUCAGCCACACUGGGACUGAGACACGGCCCAGACUCCUACGGGAGGCAGCAGUGGGGAAUCUUGCGCAAUGCGCGAAAGCGUGACGCAGCAACGCCGCGUGGAGGAAGACGGUCUUCGGAUUGUAAACUCCUUUCAGUUGGGACGAAGCUCAACGGGUUAAUAGCUCGAUGGAGUGACGGUACCUUCAGAAGAAGCCCCGG